rnacentral:rRNA from 1 species
CAAUAGCGUAUAUUUAAGUUGUUGCAGUUAAAAAGCUCGUAGUUGGAUUUCGGGUGGGACGCAGCGGUCUCGCAUUGCGUUUGUACUGCUGCAGCCCUCCUUCUUGCCGGGGGCGGCCUCUCGGACUUCACUGUCUGGGGGUCAGAAUCGGCGAUGUUACUUUGAGUAAAUUAGAGUGUUCAAAGCAAGCUUACGCUCUGAAUAUAAUAGCAUGGGAUAACACGACGGGACUCUGGCCUAUCGUGUUGGUCUAUAGGACCAGAGUAAUGAUUAAGAGGGACAGUCGGGGGCAUUCGUAUUCCGUUGUCAGAGGUGAAAUUCUUGGAUUUACGGAAGACGAACAUCUGCGAAAGCAUUUGCCAAGGAUGUUUUCAUUGA